UGCAGUCGAGCGGACAGAAGGGAGCUUGCUCCCGGAUGUUAGCGGCGGACGGGUGAGUAACACGUGGGUAACCUGCCUGUAAGACUGGGAUAACUCCGGGAAACCGGAGCUAAUACCGGAUAGUUCCUUGAACCGCAUGGUUCAAGGAUGAAAGACGGUUUCGGCUGUCACUUACAGAUGGACCCGCGGCGCAUUAGCUAGUUGGUGGGGUAAUGGCUCACCAAGGCGACGAUGCGUAGCCGACCUGAGAGGGUGAUCGGCCACACUGGGACUGAGACACGGCCCAGACUCCUACGGGAGGCAGCAGUAGGGAAUCUUCCGCAAUGGACGAAAGUCUGACGGAGCAACGCCGCGUGAGUGAUGAAGGUUUUCGGAUCGUAAAGCUCUGUUGUUAGGGAAGAACAAGUGCGAGAGUAACUGCUCGCACCUUGACGGUACCUAACCAGAAAGCCACGGCUAACUACGUGCCAGCAGCCGCGGUAAUACGUAGGUGGCAAGCGUUGUCCGGAAUUAUUGGGCGUAAAGGGCUCGCAGGCGGUUUCUUAAGUCUGAUGUGAAAGCCCCCGGCUCAACCGGGGAGGGUCAUUGGAAACUGGGAAACUUGAGUGCAGAAGAGGAGAGUGGAAUUCCACGUGUAGCGGUGAAAUGCGUAGAGAUGUGGAGGAACACCAGUGGCGAAGGCGACUCUCUGGUCUGUAACUGACGCUGAGGAGCGAAAGCGUGGGGAGCGAACAGGAUUAGAUACCCUGGUAGUCCACGCCGUAAACGAUGAGUGCUAAGUGUUAGGGGGUUUCCGCCCCCUUAGUGCUGCAGCUAACGCAUUAAGCACUCCGCCUGGGGAGUACGGUCGCAAGACUGAAACUCAAAGGAAUUGACGGGGGCCCGCACAAGCGGUGGAGCAUGUGGUUUAAUUCGAAGCAACGCGAAGAACCUUACCAGGUCUUGACAUCCUCUGACAACCCUAGAGAUAGGGCUUUCCCUUCGGGGACAGAGUGACAGGUGGUGCAUGGUUGUCGUCAGCUCGUGUCGUGAGAUGUUGGGUUAAGUCCCGCAACGAGCGCAACCCUUGAUCUUAGUUGCCAGCAUUCAGUUGGGCACUCUAAGGUGACUGCCGGUGACAAACCGGAGGAAGGUGGGGAUGACGUCAAAUCAUCAUGCCCCUUAUGACCUGGGCUACACACGUGCUACAAUGGACAGAACAAAGGGCUGCAAGACCGCAAGGUUUAGCCAAUCCCAUAAAUCUGUUCUCAGUUCGGAUCGCAGUCUGCAACUCGACUGCGUGAAGCUGGAAUCG
rnacentral:rRNA from 1 species